AAAAAAAUCACCGCCGUUGCCGCUCCCAGCCAUGGAAAAUCUCUCUGCCAAGGGCCACUUGGUGUUGGUGCAGAAGAGGCACAACGUCCCGCGCGGUCGUGUUGCUGCUGAGAAUGGCACGCGUGCAUGUGCUGAACUCCUUCAUGUUUGUUGAAGGAAAGAUAAAAAAUUAUUGCUUCCAUGCUCUGUAUUGGACCAAGAAUGAAUUUUCUUAUUUGAGGAGAAAGUGGGAGAUCCUUGUGCAGGUAUAAGAGGUAGAAACUGAUGAAAGGAACGCAUUAUGGAAUUUGGCUUUGGUUUAUAAAACUGUAGGUGGUUUCAAUCCUUUUAAACACAUUGAUUUUGACUGAUUUUUCCUGUAUGGUCAUUUUUUUACAUGCUCCUUAUAAUCUAGACAUUUCACCUCUCCAGCCCGCCCUUGAUUUCUCUCCCCACUUUUUAAUCUGGUAAGCAUUUCUCUGUGACUGAUAACAA